AUACGGAGGGUCCGAGCGUUAAUCGGAAUUACUGGGCGUAAAGCGCGCGUAGGUGGUUCAGUCAGUCAGAUGUGAAAGCCCCGGGCUCAACCUGGGAACUGCACCUGAUACUGCUGAGCUAGAGUACGGUAGAGGGCAGUGGAAUUUCCGGUGUAGCGGUGAAAUGCGUAGAGAUCGGAAGGAACACCAGUGGCGAAGGCGGCUGCCUGGACUGAUACUGACACUGAGGUGCGAAAGCGUGGGUAGCAAACAGGAUUAGAUACCCUGGUAGUCCACGCCGUAAACGAUGUCAACUAGCCGUUGGGGGACUUGAUCCUUUAGUGGCGAAGCUAACGCGAUAAGUUGACCGCCUGGGGAGUACGGCCGCAAGGUUAAAACUCAAAGGAAUUGACGGGG
rnacentral:rRNA from 1 species